rnacentral:lncRNA from 1 species
AAUCCACAUUAAGUGUCGGAGCCAGCCGUUACAAGUGGCGGAGUUCAGCAUAAAAUAAAGACACAGAGAGCCAGCAAUAUUUUCAUGAUGGUAGGAGCAGCUCCUUUCGAACUUCCCUCUCCUCCUGCAGCUUCUUUAUUAUCCUUUGUCUCUCUCCAGCCGCAUGGCUGUUUGCCAAUGUCUCACGUUACCUCAUCCGGUCAAGGCUUUAACCCACCCACAAACCAUAUAAGGUCAACACAUUCCAAUACAUUGUAAAGCUCAGAGUGCUGGUCAGCCGAGGUCAGGGGGCACCCUGCAAUAUUACAAGCCUUCGCCGUGGCUUUAUGACUCCCACAUGCCCUCUUUCUUUAUUUUAUUAAUCAGAGUCAUAUAAGUCAGUACCAAUACGGUUAUAUCGAGCGCGAUAAGCGACUCUUGUGACACCGGAAGCGGGCCGCGGACUGGAGAACCAUGCAGUACAUAUAGAAAUUAAAGAAGGAAUACAUUGGAUACAGCAACACAAAAUAACACAAAUAACUACUAUAAUGAUCACUAAAAUCAAUAAAUGUCGAAGCCAACUUCCAUCCGGAAGCCAAGAAUAUAACCAUGCCCAUGGAUCAACGGAAGGCGGAGGAGCAAGCGGAUUGUGAGCUACCAUGGUUUCCAUAUGAUCAAUCGUCGCAGAUAUGCUGACAUUAUUAUCAGGAAUAAACAUACAACAAUGAGAAUGAACAAGUGCACAAACUCCUCCUUUUGAGGCUAAAAUCACAUCCAAGGUAUAACGAUUCUGUAAAACCACCGCUCUCAUUGCAGACACCUCCUGGUUGAGAUUCUUCAAAGCCUUUAUGGUAUCAUUGAAUAAUCCUUCAGUCCAAUUUGCUAGCCGAUGGAGGUCCCUAUAGUUCAUUGCUGCGCCCACUGAGGGCAGCAAGGCCCGAGAGAUCUGGGUACCGAUAUAUUGGUUUAAGGGCAAAUUAACCUCCCGACGAUAUCGUAGUCUAAGAGAAGAUGGUAACUUAUCAACCUUAUACAACAAUGGAACCACGAGACCCAAUGUACAUGUGCCUGUGAGGUUUCGAGGAAUGGCUUUGUAUGCUUUUUCGCCACAAAGCAACCAUAACUCUCUUUGGAGUAAAUAGCUGAUAUUACUACUCUGUUGGGACCAAUAAAAGGCUGCAGUAAAUAAGGAACUGAUAUGAAAUUGCUCAUCUGUGGCAUUUGCUAAGCCAGGGAUAGAAGAAUUCAGACUCCAAUUUGCAUGGUAGGAUUAUUUCCUAGUUUUUAGCCAUGCACUGGUAUCGCUUCUAUAGCACUGAGAUUGGUCACUGUAUGUUCCUGUAAGAGAACAAGAACUAUUAAAAGUGAAAUUCAAUGUAUACUGGCAGUUUGGAUAUAUGCCCCAUGAUUCUUUCCCCUCUUUAAUUUGAAAACAAAUGGGGGCAGGCUCAUGGAGGGUCAAUUAUACUGGAGGCCAAAAAGUUUGCUUAGGGGAUAUAAUAUUAGUAAAUUGAAAAGAUCCAUUGACAGGCACACCAUGAAGCAUUAUGCCGGAAUGACUGGCAUACACACCCAACAUUUAGAAGCAUGCAAUAAACUGGCAAACAUAAUCAUAUCUUGUACAAAAAUAUUAUCCCUCCAUAUCCUAUGAUAAUUUUCUCCCCUAAAAGUCUUAUUCAACAACGCUGUUCUUCUAGUUUGAAAGUGGCUGAGCCGUGGAUACUGCCAGCCAGAGUAGGAAGCUGACAACAGCUGCUUGCCAGCCGAUGAGGUGAAAUAUGGUGGUUUCAACUGGACUGGUCGUCUGCUUCUCUUCCUUGUAUAACGGUGCAGCAAAGGAUGGCAAGGCAAAUGGUUAGGAAGGCAAACACUGCCAGAUGCAGCUCGUGUGCAGCACCUCUAGGUGGCGCAUGCGGAAAGGUUUCAAUGCUUCACCCACAAAAUGUUGACAAAGUGUAGGGGAGUUCCACAUGCCUUGAGGCAGGACAACCCACUGAUAUCGCUGGGUGGGCUGCGAAUUGUUAUAUGCUGGCAAUGUAAAAGCAAACCGUUCCCUGUCUGCUGGAGCCAGUGGGAUGAAGAUGGUUCAAUGCCAGGAAAUCAGUUGAAAAAUCAUCAGCAUGGGAUAAAACAUCCCCUACCACUCUCUGGAAACCAUUUGGAGCCAUUAAGUGGUGGGGGUGGGCCAUCCAAGUUGGUCCCACCUCCCUCCAGAGGGGAAGGGUUGCGGAGAAGUCCAGUUGUACCAGGAAUGAUCCGACCAUAGCACUUCUUUUGUCACACUUUUUCUUAGUGUCAGAUUACCCACAUCCACAGAGGUGAACACAAGGUCUAAGGUAUGUCUGCGACUAUGAGUUGGGCCAAACUUACUCAGGGACAGCCCCAUGGAGCCCAUGCUUUCCACAAAGUCCCGAGUGGCCCCUUGUAAGGUCGUGAUGGCAUGGAUGUUAACCCCCCAGGACAACUAAAAUUGGUGUCUCCAUGAGAACAUCCACCACAACCUGAAGCAGCUCGGGCAGGGAAUCCUUGGUGCAGUGGGGAGAUCGGUACACCAAAAGGAAUCCUGUACUGCCCCCAUUGCCCAAUAUGCAGAACAUGCACUCAGAAAACUAGGUCUUCCCAAUCGGAUGCCUGGUGCAAGCUAAUGACUUUCUAAAAAUCACUGCAACCCUCCCUCCUCACCCACAUGACCUGGGUUGCUGUGAGUAAGAGAAACCUGGUGGACAAGCUGCGGCAAGGACAGGCCCAUCUGCUUCAUCCAACCAAGUCUCUGUUACACGUGCCAGGUCAAGUCCUCCAUUCACAAUUAAGUCGUGGAAGCCAGCUGUCUUGUGAAUCGUUAACCUGGCAUUGCACAGCAGCACCUCCAGGUCAUGUGGGUCUCCCUUGCUGAUUCCAGUAUCCUUCCGGUCAACACCAGACCCAGAGGCAGGGAUAGUCCUCAAAGAACGACUAAACCUGCCUCCUCGGUAAUGACAUGGUCUGGUCUUAGCAUAACUCCUCCACUCGUGUAAGCAGCUCCUCUCCCACUUUCCUGCUUCAAAGUGGAGGGAAUCUGUUGCGAGCCUUCCCUCCUCCGUGGCUUGCUUUGAAGCAGGGUGCGGGGGUGCAGAGGGGAAAGAGGGCAGGAAAUAGAUGCCAGGCAGGAAGACACAACCACACUUUGACCACUGGAAAGUCCACCUCAGCCUCCCCAGAUUUCCUCUGAGGCGGCCAGGCUAAUCUCAAUGGCCAUAAGAGCUAGAAACUUGCAUGGACUGUUUAUUUAAAGACGAAAACAUGCACACACA